rnacentral:lncRNA from 1 species
GCCAAAUCUGCUUCAGACUCUCCCUCUCCCUACUCAUGCAUACUCACACUCUCUCAAAUAUUUUUUUUUUUAAGAAACCAAAACACUGAAUUGUAUGCCCAUCACCAAAUACAGGGUAUUCCAGAGUUCAUUAGGGGGCUCAGCACCUACUGAUAAAUUAGUUCUCUCCACCACCUCAAACUAGAAUCAGAACUGGCUUGGGAGUCAGGAGAUCAAGUUCUACACCCCAGUUGUCCCCAACAUUUAUGUGACUUUAGGGAAGUUUCUUUCUCUGUCUGGACCUUAAUUUCCUUCUCUAUAAUAUGGAUGCAUUUGGACAGAGAGGGGAGCAUUUGAAGGGCCUGACUCUCCAGAAUCCUUUCUUUCCCCAAGCUUUAUUGUCAGACCUCGAUAAUACGUAUCCUCCUCCUCAUUGCUUUCCAAUUUCAAAGCAUUUUCACAUAUGUCAUUUGAUCCUCAUAACCACCUUUAAGGUAGAUAGGUAUUAUUCCCAUUUUCAGAUGAAGAAAUUGAACCUGAGAGGACUUGCCCAAGUUCAUACAGUGGGUAAGUGUUGGAGAUGGGACUCAGCUCCAGGUCUUCAAAUCCUAGAUCCUGGGUUCUCUGCCCACACUAUCACACUGUCUUUGCAUGUUUAGCCUCUCUCUGGGAACUCAAGAGAGCAAUGUCUAGCAGCCUUAGUGCAAACACUAUAUACCUUUGUUUGGACAAAGCAAGAGAGCAGAGGUGCAGGGAUCUAGGGUCUUCUCUGAUUGCUCAUGAACCUGUCUAUACUGGCACAGCAGCAGUCUAUGCAUAGAAGUACACCUCUACAUUGGUGUGGACACCAAGGCUAUGACAUCACAGAUAUACAUAAAGGUACACUUGACCUCUUCAACAGGUGAUAUAGGGCACUCCUUGUUACCAGAAUGGUAGAGAAGCUGUGGGAGGCCAGGACUCCGAUUCUGUUCUCUAAGUCCACAAGACUUAUUACCUCUCUAGUGAGACCUAAAGAAAAAAGGGGCAAGUCCUCAAUCCUUAGUAUAUGGGAGGAACGAGAAGGGAAGAACAGGGAACUAACCUCCCUGCCCUUGCUAAAGCAGAGGCCAGGAAAGGGAAUAUCGGUGGAACCAGGGCUUUGCUCCUAAGCUUAGAGAGCUGGGCCUAAACCUUAAGGAAUAUCAGUGAAACCACUUCUGUCAAACCCAGUUCAGCCCUUAUGAGUCACAGUGCCUGGGCUCUAGUAACACUACCAGCUUUGGCAAGUCACUCGCCCUCUAUAAUUCAGUCUGCUUAUCCAAAAUGUGGCUAGUGACUGCUGAGUCUAGCUCAGAGGGGUGCUUGGAGGUUUCCAGUUCAUAAACAAACUGAAAUGUCUUUAAAUCUACUUUAUGAACACACGCUUUCAUUCUUCCACGGCUGGCAAGGAAGAAGGGCCAAAGCUUGAGCACACUUGGGAGGUGACCCACUCACUCCUUUCCAGGCAGCAGGUAAUUAUGUACAGGUUGGGUAGCAAGAGGGCAACAAGCCAGACAGAAUUGUCUUCAGGAAAGGCUGGGCUGCCCUGGGGUAGAGGGGCUAACGAUGCUCACUUACACUCCUUUUUCAUUUGACCAACAUUUACCAAGCAUUUAAUAUAGGACAAGUGCCAUUCUGUGUGAAGAUAAGGCAGUGAAGGAAAGAGAAAAUGGCCCUGCUGUUACAGAGUUAAUCUUCUAGUUGCGGGAGACCUACAAGUAAAUAGUAAACAUGUCAAGCAUUGGCAGGUUCUGUGCUGAAUUAAACUGGAUAAGGUUAGUAGCAGUAGUAGGGAGGUGCUGCUUCAUACAGGAUGUCAGUAGGCCUCUCUGAUAGAUAACAGGAUGUCUGAGUAUAGACAUUAAGAAGUGAGAGGACAGUCUGGGGGACAGCCACACUUUAGGUCUAGGCUAGUGGACACUAGAAUUCUGGAGACACACAGACACAUCCAUGGCAACAGAGACAACUACCAUGCUGGUUCAGUCUGCCCCCCAUUUGGACUUAUUCUCCACUCUUCUUUCCUGUUCCCUAUAGAUUGCAUCCCUGGGUCAGCCUUGCCAUCUGCCUUUUGGUUAUGUUCAGCCAAAGGCCCCAGAAGACUGAACAGGAUAAAAGAGAGGUAGGAUAUGGAAAAUCCCACUGUUUGGCCCAUUCUGACAGUGGCUGUGUUCUUCUGUACUAUGAUGUCCAUCUGCCAUCCAUAGCCCCUUCUAGAAACCAUCCUCCCCACAAAGCCUUGCAAGAUUAGCCUUCCAGGGACGGCUGGGUGGCUCAGCGGUUGAGUGCCUGUCUUUGGUUCAGGUCGUGAUCCUGCGAUCUCAGGAUCCGGGAUCGAGUCCCACAUCAGGCUCCCUGCAUGGAGCCUGCUUUUCCCUCUGCCUAUGUGUCUGCCUCUGUCUCUCACUCUUUCAUGAAUACAUCUUAAAAAAAAAAAAAAAAAAAAAAUUAGCCUUCCAGAUGUGCAGUGUACCUACCUGUGAAGGAAUGUGUCCACAGACACCAGUUGGACAGCCUCUCUCACCAGGGCAGAAGAGGAGUUUGGGCACUAGAGACAUCAGUGCCAUCAGAGACAAAAUGUGGACAGUGGCCUCACUCAUCCCUCAAUGCUCUAGCUCUGUCCAAUUUUUCAUACUAGCGAAGGUAGGAACAGAAAUUGGGGGUCUAGAGUCCCUAGAGCCACUGCCCCAGAGGUAAAACCUUCUCCAAGAUCCAGGCUACCAACUUUGUACCUGAAGGAAUUCAUUGUACCUACCUCCAACAUUGAAUAGCUCAUUACCCAGUUUAUCUCCUUGACUGUACAUUUAUCACUAUUGGAAAGAGCAUAUUAUGUGUAGGCCUGCUCUACCACCUGAUUAGAAUAUAUGUGCUAUGGAAGCUCAGAACUUGUCUUGCUGUGACAGCAUCCUAGGCUCAAGUACAUAAAAAUCCAGUAAAUGUUUUUGAGUAAGUGGCAAUGGAAAGGAGUACAAAGCACCCCUGCUCUCCGAUACUCCCACAACGAUUGUGACAACUGCUUGGUACCAGGGGUGGGCAGAUACUCUCAAAAGUACUGCCCAUCUCCUUAGGUGUGUGGGGGGAGGAGCCCUAGAGCAGGACAACCAGGAUAACCUAGGAGUCGGAGAAUCCCUGUGUUCCACCAAGAUUGUUUCCCCCCUUUCUAGAAAUCCCCCACUUUUCCACUUCUAAGUAGCUAGAGCAGAACUUACCAGAUAUAGUGUGCAGGUCUCAGGAAAGCACAGGAGGAGUAAGAAGGCUAUGAACUCCUUGGCCAAAGGUUCUAAGAAGCUAAGCUCCUUCAGGUCUAAGCAGCAGCUGGAAAACUGCCAUCUGGACCUGGGGCUGGAAACUGGGAAGGCAACAUCUGUACCAAAGACCCAAAAUAUGGCUCACCUGGCCAUCUCUAUUAAGGGACCUAGAAAGCCUUGUAGGUAAGUACUACUGGUUAAUUUUCCUUCCAAUUAAAGGGCCUUAGACUAGACCCUACAACUAAGAUCUGAUUCAGGCCAAUCAGUCUCUUUGUCUGGUCUUAACUCUUCAGCCCUCAUUCUACUUCACCUUUGAUGCACUCUACCCCCACCCAUGUGUGGCCCAACUGCCACCAGAGCAAUCCUUUUGUUCCCCCUUCCCCCAAAAAACCCAAACAGCUCAGAAGUGCAUCAAUCGACCUUUAAUGUCCAAAAGAGGCAUGGAUGCAGAGCAUAGGAGAUGUGGUGGGGUCUGAGCCCCUGCUCCAGAAACGAGGGAGAGAUGAACACAAACCAGACAUUUCCAACUGGCCACACAAGUCUGGGAAGGCAGGGGGAAACACAGAUUUGGACAUUCAUAAAAAAAUAAAACCUAAAACCAAGCACUCAAUCUUGUGCCCACUGAAGGGUUUGAUAUAGGGAACUCAUUCACCAUCCCAGUACCCACCCUCCCCUGUCAGCAUCAAAGAGAAAGCUCGGCACACACUAAAGGCUUGGGGAGGGGGCAUUUUCCUGCCUCCCCAGGCCCCAAGGAUGGACUCAGGGGAAAAAAAGAAAAGAAUGAAUGAGCUGGAUCCCAACCACCCCCCUCCCAGAGUGCCAACCCUACAGAUGAGUUUUAAAUGCGAUUUACAAGAAUCAGCAGCUCAGUCGGCAAUGACUCCCCCGCCCCCCCCCCAUCCCUGUUUGACCAACAGACAAGAUUUCC